rnacentral:rRNA from 1 species
CCGGACUGACUGCUAUCGGAUUGGUACUAAGCCAUGCGAGUCGUUGUAGCAAUACAAGGCGGACGGCUCAGUAACACGUAGUCAACCUAACCUAUGGACGUGGAUAACCUCGGGAAACUGAGAAUAAACCGCGAUAGAUCAUAAUGCCUGGAAUGGCUUAUGGUUAAAAUAAUUUAUUGCCGUAGGAUGGGACUGCGGCCUAUCAGCUUGUUGGUGAGGUAAUGGCCCACCAAGGCUAUAACAGGUACGGGCUCUGAGUGGAGAAGCCCGGAGAUGGGUACUGAGACACGGACCCAGGCCCUAUGGGGCGCAGCAGGCGAGAAACCUUAGCAAUGUGCGAAAGCACGACUAGGUUAAUCCGAGUGAUUUCUGUUGAAGAAAUCUUUUGUCAGUCGUAACACCACAGACGAGUAAGGGGUGGGCAAGUCUGGUGUCAGCCGCCGCGGUAAUACCAGCACCUCGAGUGGUCAGGAGGUUUAUUGGGCCUAAAGCAUCCGUAGCCGGCUAUGCAAGUCUCCGGUUAAAUCCAACUGCUCAACAGAUGGGCUGCCGGAGAUACUACACAGCUAGGGAGCGGGAGAGGUAGACGGUAUUCUGUGGGUAGGGGUAAAAUCCACUGAUCCAUAGAGGACCACCAGUGGCGAAGGCGGUCUACCAGAACGCGUUCGACGGUGAGGGAUGAAAGCUGGGGGAGCAAACCGGAUUAGAUACCCGGGUAGUCCCAGCUGUAAACGAUGCAAACUCGGUGAUGCAUUGACUUAUGGUCAAUGCAGUGCCGCAGGGAAGCCGUUAAGUUUGCCGCCUGGGAAGUACGGACGCAAGUCUGAAACUUAAAGGAAUUGGCGGGGGAGCACCACAAGGGGUGAAGCCUGCGGUUCAAUUGGAGUCAACGCCGGG